rnacentral:rRNA from 1 species
AUUGAACGCUGGCGGCAGGCCUAACACAUGCAAGUCGAACGAGUGGCGGACGGGUGAGUAAUGUCUGGGAAACUGCCCGAUGGAGGGGGAUAACUACUGGAAACGGUAGCUAAUACCGCAUACCAUCGGAUGUGCCCAGAUUGGAUUAGCUAGUAGGUGGGGUAACGGCUCACCUAGGCGACGAUCCCUAGCUGGUCUGAUAGGAUGACAAGCCACACGUGAACUGAGACACGGUCCAGACUCCUACGUGAGGCAGCAGUGGGGAAUAUUGCACAAUGGGCGCAAUCCUGAUGCAGCCAUGCCGCGUGUAUGAAGAAGGCCUUCGGGUUGUAAAGUACUUUCAGCUAGGAGGCGUUACUCGCAGAAGAAGCACCGGCUAACUCCGUGCCAGCCGACGCGGUAAUUC